rnacentral:rRNA from 1 species
UACGUAGGGCGCAAGCGUUGUCCGGAAUUAUUGGGCGUAAAGAGCUCGUAGGCGGUUUGUCGCGUCUGCCCGUGAAAGCCCGGGCUUAACUCCGGGUCUGCGGUGGAUACGGGCAGACUAGAGGCAGGUAGGGGAGAACGGAAUUCCCGGUGUAGCGGUGAAAUGCGCAGAUAUCGGGAGGAACACCCAUGGCGAAGGCAGCAAGCU